AGUGAACGCUGGCGGCAGGCCUAACACAUGCAAGUCGAGCGGCAGCGCGGGGGCAACCCUGGCUGCGAGCGGCGGACGGGUGAGGAAUUCGUCGGAAUCUGCCUUUUUGUGGGGGAUAACGUAGGGAAACUUACGCUAAUACCGCAUACGUCCUACGGGAGAAAGUGGGGGACCGCAAGGCCUCACGCAGAAAGAUGAGCCGACGACCGAUUAGCUAGUUGGUGGGGUAAAGGCCCACCAAGGCGACGAUCGGUAGCUGGUCUGAGAGGAUGAUCAGCCACACUGGGACUGAGACACGGCCCAGACUCCUGCGGGAGGCAGCAGUGGGGAAUAUUGGACAAUGGGCGCAAGCCUGAUCCAGCCAUGCCGCGUGUGUGAAGAAGGCCUUCGGGUUGUAAAGCACUUUUGUCCGGAAAGAAAUCCCUGGAGCUAAUACCUUCGGGGGAUGACGGUACCGGAAGAAUAAGCACCGGCUAACUUCGUG
rnacentral:rRNA from 1 species